rnacentral:rRNA from 1 species
GGUGAACGCUGGCGGCGUGCCUAAUACAUGCAAGUCGAGCGAACAGACGAGGAGCUUGCUCCUCUGACGUUAGCGGCGGACGGGUGAGUAACACGUGGAUAACCUACCUAUAAGACUGGGAUAACUUCGGGAAACCGGAGCUAAUACUGGAUAAUAUAUUGAACCGCAUGGUUCAAUAGUGAAAGACGGUUUUGCUGUCACUUAUAGAUGGAUCCGCGCCGCAUUAGCUAGUUGGUAAGGUAACGGCUUACCAAGGCAACGAUGCGUAGCCGACCUGAGAGGGUGAUCGGCCACACUGGAACUGAGACACGGUCCAGACUCCUACGGGAGGCAGCAGUAGGGAAUCUUCCGCAAUGGGCGAAAGCCUGACGGAGCAACGCCGCGUGAGUGAUGAAGGUCUUCGGAUCGUAAAACUCUGUUAUUAGGGAAGAACAAAUGUGUAAGUAACUAUGCACGUCUUGACGGUACCUAAUCAGAAAGCCACGGCUAACUACGUG